rnacentral:rRNA from 1 species
UACGUAGGUGGCUAGCGUUGUCCGGAUUUACUGGGCGUAAAGAGCGCGCAGGCGGUCGUUCAAGUCGAGUGUGAAAGCCCCCGGCUCAACUGGGGAGGGUCACUCGAUACUGAUCGACUCGAAGGCAGGAGAGGGAAGCGGAAUUCCCGGUGUAGUGGUGAAAUGCGUAGAUAUCGGGAGGAACACCAGUGGCGAAGGCGGCUUCCUGGACCGACACUGACGCUGAGGCGCGAAAGCUAGGGGAGCCAAACGGGG